rnacentral:rRNA from 1 species
AGAGUUUGAUCCUGGCUCAGGACGAACGCUGGCGGCGUGCUUAACACAUGCAAGUCGAACGAAAAGAGGGAAAGAGCUUGCUCUUUCCGGAAUUGAGUGGCAAACGGGUGAGUAACACGUAAACAACCUGCCUUCAGGAUGGGGACAACAGACGGAAACGACUGCUAAUACCGAAUAAGUUCCAAGAGCCGCAUGGCUCAUGGAAGAAAAGGUGGCCUCUACCUGUAAGCUAUCGCCUGAAGAGGGGUUUGCGUCUGAUUAGCUGGUUGGAGGGGUAACGGCCCACCAAGGCGACGAUCAGUAGCCGGUCUGAGAGGAUGAACGGCCACACUGGAACUGAGACACGGUCCAGACUCCUACGGGAGGCAGCAGUGGGGAAUCUUCCGCAAUGGGCGAAAGCCUGACGGAGCAACGCCGCGUGAGUGAUGACGGCCUUCGGGUUGUAAAACUCUGUGAUCCGGGACGAAAAGGCAGAGUGCGAAGAACAAACUGCAUUGACGGUACCGGAAAAGCAAGCCACGGCUAACUACGUGCCAGCAGCCGCGGUAAUACGUAGGUGGCAAGCGUUGUCCGGAAUUAUUGGGCGUAAAGCGCGCGCAGGCGGCUUCCCAAGUCCCUCUUAAAAGUGCGGGGCUUAACCCCGUGAUGGGAAGGAAACUGGGAAGCUGGAGUAUCGGAGAGGAAAGUGGAAUUCCUAGUGUAGCGGUGAAAUGCGUAGAGAUUAGGAAGAACACCGGUGGCGAAGGCGACUUUCUGGACGAAAACUGACGCUGAGGCGCGAAAGCGUGGGGAGCAAACAGGAUUAGAUACCCUGGUAGUCCACGC